UCUUAAAUUUUAUUGAAAUAAAAAGGACAAAGACAUGUGGACAACAUAGCCCACAUCAUACUCUGUACAAUCUUUGGAAAGACAGACGCACAAAAUCAAAAAAAGGAAAUGAUUCAGGUCUUCUUCAACGAGCUCUAUGGCUGUCUAAACUCCGGCAACUUCUCCGACCUUCUACAGCUCUCAACUGCCAUUGUAGUUCAUCUUCCAAAAAUAGGCCAACUAAGUUCUGACAAUCUAAUAUUUGCAACGGGGUUGUUUGGUUGAUGGUUAGACUUAUGCAAGGAUUAGUUAUGCAGUAAAGACUGUGAAGAUCAAUCCAUGAAGGACAAAUCAAGGUUUAGUGUCUCUCUCAGAAGUCUUUCACAACCAAUGUCCUUAAAAGACAUAGCAAGGACUUGGGAUAUUUGCACUCACGUGAUAAUUUUUGAGUAUGCACAGCAAAGUGGUGGAGGAACUUUCAGCUCAAAGUACGGGUGGGUCUUGGGAGAAUUGUUUGAGUGCAGCAUGAUCAAACACGAUCUGAUGAGCCAAGUUAUGAGAUUAUCUUGAUCCACCCUUCGACUGCUGCCUCCUAUAUAGUGGAGGUGACUGCACAUAUUUCGGGUGCACACAUGUUACACUCAGAUGAAAAAGAAUACAGGUCACCUAGUAUGUCUACAGGGAAUCAGUAGCCUAAUUUGACAAUAAGUCAUACCUUAUGCAUUGUUAUAUAUGCACUUUGCGUAAAAAUCUGUCAAGUGGACACAAAUUUGUAGUUCUUGCUAUAGUUAACUGUGUAUAAAUCCUCCCAAUCCCUUUUUGCAUUUCUGUGCAGAAAGUUUGUAGAGUGGCUAGAGGUUGAAGUUUUUGGGA